CUCCAUAAUCAAGAAGUACUGAAACUCGAGGUUAGACAAAGGGAAGAAUAAAGUUGAAGACUAAGUUGGUGAAUUUGGCUAUAAUUGGUACCGAGUAUUGCAAAGCUACUUCAAGGAUCCUAAAGAAGUCGGAGAUCGUCCACACUAUCAACCACAACUGCUCGGUAUUUUAUAUCGAAUCACGUUUGAGUUAUGGCAUGUAUAGGGAUUUAGUUAUUUUGUAUGUUUGUGAUUAUGAUUUUGCUAAAGAAUGGUGUGUAAGUAUUUGAUGAUGUAUGGUUAUUAAAAUGGUUAAGUA